rnacentral:rRNA from 1 species
GAUGAACGCUGGCGGCGUGCCUAAUACAUGCCAGUCGAGCGAACGGACGAGAAGCUUGCUUUUCUGAUGUUAGCGGCGGACGGGUGAGUAACACGUGGAUAACCUACCUAUAAGACUGGGAUAACUUCGGGAAACCGGAGCUAAUACCGGAUAAUAUUUUGAACCGCAUGGUUCAAAAGUGAAAGACGGUCUUGCUGUCACUUAUAGAUGGAUCCGCGCUGCAUUAGCUAGUUGGUAAGGUAACGGCUUACCAAGGCAACGAUGCAUAGCCGACCUGAGAGGGUGAUCGGCCACACUGGAACUGAGACACGGUCCAGACUCCUACGGGAGGCAGCAGUAGGGAAUCUUCCGCAAUGGGCGAAAGCCUGACGGAGCAACGCCGCGUGAGUGGUGAAGGUCUUCGGAUCGUAAAACUCUGUUAUUAGGGAAGAACAUAUGUGUAAGUAACUGUGCACAUCUUGACGGUACCUAAUCAGAAAGCCACGGCUAACUACGUG